UGACUUUAAAUAGCAUGAAAACUGUACAAGUUAGUGCAAUGUAUACCUCAUCCUAUUUAGACACACUUGGUGUGAAUCUGUUUCAUGAUUUAGUGGGGUAUUUUGAGUUAGUCACAUUUUUAUCUCAUUCUUUACUCAGUACUAGUUACAUAACCCUUUGCGGUCCGUUGCCAGGCACCUUCCAACAAUGCAACACGACUGCAGCAGCUCGUACUGCUUGACAAGUUCUUUCGUGGUCGAUUCACAUACUUUACCAUUGCAUUAUGCAUCAUCUCUAAAUGAGUGGGUAAACUUCUUUUACUUGAGCUUCGAUUUCUUUAGUUUCGCACGGGAAUGGAUGGAAGGUGGAUAAAUGUUUUGGAAUGCAAAGGUAGCGCCCUACAAGCCCUACAUUUCACAUGGCAGCUGAUAUGGAGCCUGUUCACAAUAUUUAGGAAUUAAAUAUUCAAGCUACUUUGGCACUCAUUGCAGGUGUGGAAUGACGAGAAAGAGCUGCACAUACAAAGACUUGUGUCCGGUGGAGGCUCUGCAAAGGUAGCGGGGGACAGUCGAGCGGAUUCCCCUGGCUACUGCGCUAAAUAUGGCGUGUACUCGCUGUUGAGACCAGCAUCAACCGCAUCAUUGAAAUGAAAGUUGUGCAGUGCAAUGAAGUGCCAUCAAGCACACACAUGGAGCUUGAAGGCCUGAAAAGGGCUCUCCAUUCCGUUGAAACAAGCGGUCUACACGUCAGCGAAGUGGUGACUGACCGCCAUCCCCAAGUGCGCAGGUACUUCAGAGUGGAGAAGCCUGAUGUGGACCAUUUGGUUGACGCCUGG
rnacentral:lncRNA from 1 species